rnacentral:rRNA from 1 species
AUGCCUACGGGAGGCAGCAGUGAGGAAUAUUGGUCAAUGGCCGUAAGGCUGAACCAGCCAAGUAGCGUGAGGGAAGACUGCCCUAUGGGUUGUAAACCUCUUUUAUGCGGGGAUAAAGGUGUCCACGUGUGGAUGUUUGCAGGUACCGCAUGAAUAAGGACCGGCUAAUUCCGUGCCAGCAGCCGCGGUAAUGCGGAGGAUGCGAGCGUUAUCCGGAUUUAUUGGGUUUAAAGGGUGCGCAGGCGGAGGUGCAAGUCAGCGGUCAAAUUGCGGGGCUCAACCCCGUACUGCCGUUGAAACUGCAU